rnacentral:rRNA from 1 species
UAGGGAAUCUUCCACAAUGGACGCAAGUCUGAUGGAGCAACGCCGCGUGAGUGAAGAAGGUUUUCGGACCGUAAAGCUCUGUUGUUGGUGAAGAAGGAUAGAGGUAGUAACUGGCCUUUAUUUGACGGUAAUCAACCAGAAAGUCACGGCUAACUACGUGCCAGCAGCCGCGGUAAUACGUAGGUGGCAAGCGUUGUCCGGAUUUAUUGGGCGUAAGGCGAGCGCAGGCGGAAGAAUAAGUCUGAUGUGAAAGCCCUCGGCUUAACCGAGGAAUUGCAUCGGAAACUGUUU